UACAUGUGCAGUAGCUCCGCCCCCGUAGCCUUCCCUUCAUUGCCAAGAAAAGUUGUCCUUGGGGGCGCUUUAGUUGUUUGACGGGUGCACGAUGCGCGCGGUUUGUGUGUGUGUGUGCCAUGCUGUGUUCUGCAAUGCUUCGUUACCACGUUUAUCGAUUAUGCACGUUGGUUACUUGAUUCAAUGUCAAGUGUACCUUCCAAGACGAUCUAGGUCCUAGUCUCGUGACUGAAGGCGAGUGCGGACGUACAGCAGCCUUUUGACAAGACUGUCGCCGAGUGUACGGUACAUUGUGGACUGUAAAGCUGAAGAGUGCACAGUGGAUGCCUGAUUUUGGAACCGAGUGUGAUCGUCUGGGCGGUGUGUUCACUCUGCGGGGAUGAUGGCCAGAGGAAGGAUGAUAGACAGACGACAGCUUGCAGACGAAGAUGGGAGCGUUCUAUCUGUGAGCCUGGUCGAGCUUAUAUUUUAUGGAUACACAUGCAUGGAUACACAUACAUGGAUUCCCUACAAGGACCCUGCGCAUCAAAAGCAAUCUGUCAUCAAUGUUAAGUAGACAGAUUAAACGAAACGAAGAUAUGACAGGUGUACACCAUAUUUUUCUUUCAUUUAACCUCUGCAUGUUUCCCAG